UACGGGGGGAGCAAGCGUUGUUCGGAUUUACUGGGCGUAAAGCGUGCGCAGGCGGUUCGUUGUGUCCGUCGUGAAAGCCCCGGGCUUAACCUGGGAACUGCGAUGGAAACUAGCGAGCUGGAGUGUGGCAGAGGGGGGUGGAAUUCCGCGUGUAGCAGUGAAAUGCGUAGAGAUGCGGAGGAACACCGAUGGCGAAGGCAGCCCCCUGGGCUAACACUGACGCUCAGGCACGAAAGCGUGGGGAGCAAACAGG
rnacentral:rRNA from 1 species